rnacentral:ncRNA from 1 species
UUUGGUUUUUUUGUUUAAUUAUAUUAUACGGAUAUAUCCAAACCUUUAGUAUGUAACAUAGUGUAUAAACAUCUUUUCGUUAUUUUUUAAAAAAAGAAUUGAAAGUUCUUGUAAUCGGGUGGGUAUGAAAAUAUAUAUAACUGAUUACAUAAAAAUGAUUGGAGGCGUUAGGGUCGAAACGACCUUAAUUUAUUCUCAAACUUUAAAUGGGUAUGAAGGUUGUGGUAGGGAUCUAAUGUGCCCAAUUGGCCAAUUUUGGUAAACAGAACAGGUGCUGUCGGAUGAACCAAACAUAAUGUUACGGCGCCCAAAUUAACAACGCAUGCGAAUACCAUGAAUAGCGUUGGUUUCUUCAAACAGCCGGACGGUGGACAUGAAAGUCGCAAUCCGCUAGGGAGUGUGCAAAAACUCACCUGCCGAAACAACUAGCUCUUAAAAGGGAUGGCGCUAAACUUGUAUACCUAUACAUUACCGCUAAAGUAAAUGGUUGAAUUUCAAUUUAUUCGGGCUUGUAAACUUCAAAACUAUAGUGAGUAGGAGGGUACAACGGUGAGCGUAGAAGUGUUUGACGUAAGCCUGCAUGGAGCCGCCAUUGAUCUUGCUACAGAUCUUGGUGGUAGUAAUCGAUUGAGACCUUGGAGGACUGAAGUGGUCAAGGGUUUCGUGCGAACAGUGGUUGAUCACUAGUUUGUCGGUCCUAAGUUCACGGCGAAAGCUGAAAAUUUUCAGGUUACAUACUGAGAGUAUAUUUAUAUGUAUAAAUAAUGUAUAAAACACUUGAAUAUAAUUAAACGAAAGGGAAUACGAUUCCAAUUCCGUAACCUGUUGAGUAUCCAUUUGUUUAUUAAAUGUUCUGGCGACAGGAACGACCAUAAAGAAGCCGUCGAGAGAUAUCGGAAGAGUUUUCUUUUCUGCUUGAUAAUCGUAGUACCAUGCAAAUCCUUCGAAGAGAGAUAUGGUAGAUGGAUUGGAAGAGCAUGACAUUCACUGUUGUGUCGAUAUUUUCUCCUCGGACCUUGAAAAUUUAUGGUGGGGUCACACAAACUUCUCAACAGGCCGUACCAAUAUCCGCAGCUGAUCGCCAAGGUGAAGAGUCUCAAGUCGAUAGAAUAAUGUAGGUAAGGGAAGUCGGCGAAUUAGAUUCGCAACUUCGGGAUACGGAUUGGCUCUGAAGAUUGACAUCGGCGGGCUUGAUUGGGAAGCAAUAAUAUGGUUUAUGUACUCGUUCUGGGUAAAUAGAGAUUUUCGGAUCUUGUUCCUCGGA